CCGUGCCUGGAUUGCCGAUCCCGCUGUUGCCGGCGGCGGGCCGGUUAUGGACGUGGGGGUUCAUGCCCUCGACACGAU
rnacentral:tRNA from 2 species